rnacentral:rRNA from 1 species
CCCUUAGAUGUUCUGGGCCGCACGCGUGCUACACUGAGUGGAUCAGCGGGUCAGGUUGCGCGAAAGCGUUUCCUAAUCUUUAAAUCCGCUCGUGAUGGGGAUUGACGGUUGCAAUUUUCUGUCAUGAACGAGGAAUACCUUGUAAGCGCGGGUCAUCAUCCCGCGCUGAAUACGUCCCUGCCCUUUGUACACACCGCCCGUCGCCCCUACCGAUUGAGUGGUCCGGUGAGGCUUUGGGAUCUGAGCGGAAAGAGCGUUUCGCUGUUUCUGCUCGGAAAACUCAGUCGAACCUUAUCAUUUAGAGGAAGGAGAAGUCGUAACA